AUUGAACGCUGGCGGCAGGCCUAACACAUGCAAGUCGAGCGAGCGGCGGACGGGUGAGUAAUGCCUAGGAAUCUGCCUGGUGGAGGGGGAUAACGACUGGAAACGGUAGCUAAUACCGCAUACCAUCGGAUGAGCCCAGUUGGGAGUAGCUAGUUGGGGGGGUAACGGCUCACCUAGGCGACGAUCCCUAGCUGGUCUGAGAGGAUGACCAGCCAAAAUGGAACGGAGACACGGUCCAGACUCCUACGGUAGGCAGCAGUGGGGAAUAUUGCACAAUGGGCGAAAGACUGAUGCAGCCAUGCCGCGUGUAUGAAGAAGGCCUUCGGGUUGUAAAGUACUUUAAGCGGGGAGGCGUUACCCACAGAAGAAGCACCGGCUAACUCCGUGCCAGCAGCCGCGGUAAUAC
rnacentral:rRNA from 1 species